rnacentral:tRNA from 1 species
AGUCCGGUCGCUCAAUGGAAGGGCGCCUGAAUUGCAUUUAGGAGAUGUGGGUUCGACUCCCGCUCGGAUUU